UAUAUACCCCCUCCGUCUGAAAAUACUUGUCAUCAAAAUGGACAAAAAGGGAUGUAUUUUAGAUACAUUCCUUUUUGUCCAUUCUGAUGACAAGUAUUUUCAGACGGAGGGAGUAUAAU
rfam:Triticum aestivum genome assembly, contig: Triticum_aestivum_CS42_TGACv1_scaffold_562005_7AL